CAGGUUUCAGAGUAGCAGCCGUGUUAGUCUGGAUCUGUAAAAGCGGCAAAGAGUCCUGUGGCACCUUAUAUACUAAGAGACAUAUUGGAGCAUUACCUUUCAUGGGUGAAUACCCACUUUGUCGUAUUCACGUAGUGGAAAUUUCCAGAGGCAGGUAUAAAUAUGCAAGCAAGAAUCAGGCUAGGGAUAAUGAGGUUAGUUCAAUCAGGGAGGAUGAGGCCCUCUUCUAG